GACAGAGGGUGCAAGCGUUGUCCGGAAUUAUUGGGCGUAAAGGGCGCGUAGGCGGCUCAUCAAGUCACUUGUGAAAUCUUCAGGCUUAACCUGAAGCGGCCAAGUGAUACUGUCGUGCUAGAGUGCGGAAGGGGCAACUGGAAUUCUUGGUGUAGCGGUGAAAUGCGUAGAUAUCAGGAGGAACACCUGCGGCGAAGGCGGGUUGCUGGGCCGACACUGACGCUGAGGCGCGAAAGCUUGGGGAGCGAACGGG
rnacentral:rRNA from 1 species